UAUCCUGUGAGAGCUUCACAGUCACCCUGUGGAGCAUGUAGGUCAGAGGCCAACAUUCCCUUUUCACCAGUGAGAAAACUGAGGGGACCUUGACGAAAACUCGCUGCAUUUGUUCAUUUCCUGUGUGUGUGAAGAGGGCAGACUGGGGAAAGAAACAGAGAGGCUGGACCUCUAAGCAUCAAGGAGCUCAUCUCCCAGAAAUAGCCUGUAGACAAAAGGGCUUGCAGAUCCUUCAGGAACUCUGAAUCUCCUGAUGCCUCCUCCAGAUGGUUCCCAUCUCAGAUUUGUUACAAGAUUUUCUGAGUCCUUUUUUGGAGCAAAACAGAAGAACUGACACAUCAUUACAAGAAGGCUGGAGGGAGGCUGUUCUUGAUGAGGGAAGUGCUCCUGGGCCACGUUGCUGAUAUCCUCACAUGGUGUCGAAACCAAAGCUCUUCUGGUGUGAAUCUUGACUCUUGUCCAAAAAAGGAUGAAACCUGCCAUGAUAAUGCUGCAGGUGUAUUCUGGAACGUGUCAUCCAAAUGGUGUUUUUAGAAGUGUGGAAGUCCCUAAUUUGCCUUCAGAGGUUCGUGCACUACAUGCCUGGGUGAUCUAUGACCGCGGAGUACCUGUCAGGAACUUGUGCUCAGGCGCCUCCAUAAAACAACUGGAAUUGGAUUUAAGACCAGACAUUGUAUUUACUUGUGAGGAUAUGGACAGGGAGACAUUUCUUCAAUGUGUGGAAAAUCCUGAGGGCUCACAAUGCAAAUCUGUAGUAUGAGACAGUGCCGUGAUCUGUUCAGUUCUUUGCACUCUUGCUGUCCAUCAACAUGCCUGACUCAGGACACACACUGCUGGGGAGCUGAGGAUUUGAGGGGAGCUGCUGUCAUUGUGUCAACACUGGAGAAGACCCUUCUCCCCAAUGUUAACAUAGUUUUUGUUUUGAUGUCCUAAUAUUCAAGAAAAAAUUAUUGUAUAAUAUUAGAAUGAAAAUGUUAUGUUGAGUUAUUUCAUUUUAAUGUUUGUAUGAAGGGUUUAUGUUGGGUAUCUGUGGGCAGCCUCCUUUAUAAAAAUGAGCACACUUUUCAAUAUGGUGCAUAUUGGUACUGUCAUGUCAAGGAAGACAAAUACCCAAGCUUUCCAGAAAGUGUCACAUUCCAUAUGAAGGGUCUUGGGUCAGGGACAUUUGUGAACCCUUUAGGAUCUAUUGAUAGUCAGACUAUAAAUGCCACUAUUAUGGUCAUGCUGGGAAAAGUAUUCCGUCGUGUAUGAGCUUCCCAGUGCUUGGUGCGCUACACCAUGAGAUUGAUGUUAUUAUCUCCCAUUUGUUAGAUGAGAAAAUGGAAGUUCAGAGAGAUUCUAUCAUUUGUCUAAUGUCAUAAUUUAGUUCAAGGAAAUGGAUGAUUUUGAACUCGGGUCUGUGGGACUCCAAAGCACAUGUGCUCUCUAUUUUGAGGAUUAAACCACAAAAUUUAAAAGUGCCUUAUGUUUUCUACCAGUAAGUGCCUGUGAGAUUAAAUACAAUAAAAUCUGGAAUGAGAUUUUUCUGAAUGACUU